rnacentral:rRNA from 1 species
AGUGAACGCUGGCGGUAGGCCUAACACAUGCAAGUCGAACGGCAGCACAGUAAGAGCUUGCUCUUACGGGUGGCGAGUGGCGGACGGGUGAGGAAUACAUCGGAAUCUACUUUUUCGUGGGGGAUAACGUAGGGAAACUUACGCUAAUACCGCAUACGACCUACGGGUGAAAGCAGGGGAUCUUCGGACCUUGCGCGAUUGAAUGAGCCGAUGUCGGAUUAGCUAGUUGGCGGGGUAAAGGCCCACCAAGGCGACGUUCCGUAGCUGGUCUGAGAGGAUGAUCAGCCACACUGGAACUGAGACACGGUCCAGACUCCUACGGGAGGCAGCAGUGGGGAAUAUUGGACAAUGGGCGCAAGCCUGAUCCAGCCAUACCGCGUGGGUGCAGAAGGCCUUCGGGUUGUAAAGCCCUUUUGUUGGGAAAGAAAAGCAGCAGGUUAAUACCCCGCUGUUCUGACGGUACCCAAAGAAUAAGCACCGGCUAACUUCGUG